rnacentral:tRNA from 1 species
GUUUAGGUAGUUUAAGUAGAACAUAACGCUGAAGAUGUUAUAGUGGGUUAAUGCCCCCUGAACA